rnacentral:rRNA from 1 species
UCCGUAGGCGGGCGACUAAGUCAGAGGUGAAAUCCCACAGCUUAACUGUGGAACUGCCUUUGAUACUGGUUGUCUUGAGUUAUAGUGAAGUAGAUAGAAUAUGUAGUGUAGCGGUGAAAUGCUUAGAUAUUACAUAGAAUACCGAUUGCGAAGGCAGUCUACUAACUAUAUACUGACGCUAAUGGACGAAAGCGUGGGGAGCGAACAGGAUUAGAUACCUGGUAGUCC